CCUACGGGAGGCAGCAGUGGGGAAUAUUGGGCAAUGGGCGCAAGCCUGACCCAGCAACGCCGCGUGAAGGAAGAAGGCUUUCGGGUUGUAAACUUCUUUUCUCAGGGACGAAGCAAGUGACGGUACCUGAGGAAUAAGCCACGGCUAACUACGUGCCGGCAGCCGCGGUAAUACGUAGGUGGCAAGCGUUAUCCGGAUUUACUGGGUGUAAAGGGCGUGUAGGCGGGACUGCAAGUCAGAUGUGAAAACCACGGGCUCAACCUGUGGCCUGCAUUUGAAACUGUAGUUCUUGAGUGCUGGAGAGGCAGGCGGAAUUCGUGGUGUAGCGGUGAAAUGCGUAGAUAUUAGGAGGAACACCAGUGGCGAAGGCGGUGUGCUGGACAGCAACUGACGCUGAGGCGCGAAAGCGUGGGGAGCAAACAGGAUUAGAUACCCCGGUAGUC
rnacentral:rRNA from 1 species